rnacentral:rRNA from 1 species
UACGUAGGGUCCAAGCGUUAUCCGGAUUUAUUGGGCGUAAAGAGCGCGUAGGUGGUUUGAUAAGUUACUCGUUAAAUCUCGAUGCUCAACAUCGAGCCUGCGGGUAAUACUAUCAUUCUUGAGGAUGGCAGGGGCAAGCGGAAUUCUGCAAGUAGCAGUGAAAUGCGUUGAUAUGCAGAGGAACACCAAUGGCGAAGGCAGCUUGCUAGGCUAUAUCUGACACUGAGGCGCGAAAGCGUGGGGAGCGAACGGG